UUUGAACUAGAAUUUUGGACUCGGGAGUCGGUUAGGGUCGAGGAAGGCAUUAGCACCGCGUCCGCCUGUUAUUAAAAGGUAUCUGCAAUCAUCACAUAAAACAAAGUAUACCCAAAAACUUAUUUAAUAAGUGAUUAUUUAUUAAAAGAAAAUUUUUAUUUUAUAUUUUUGUGUAUCACAAGUAUUCAUCUUGCUCCUACGUAUCCCUAGGUGCAAUGAGAAAAUCAAGACUACAUAAUUUUUGGUAGAAAUGGUAUAUUGGAUUGAUUUUAGUUAUGAAAAAUGGUUUGAGAAAUUGUGAGAUGUGAGUAGAUGGGAUUAAAGAGGGCGAUAAAUUUUAUCUUAUAUCAUUUUGCCAUCAUAAAAAAAGAAGAGAUAGUACAACCACUCACCACUUUUAAUUAAAUAGAAUAAUAAGAUAAGAGUUUGAUCUAUAUUGUCUUAUUCAUACUAGCGAGAAAGAAGAGACAGUACAACAACUACUCACCACUUUUCUACUAAUAGAAUAAUAAAAUAAGACUUAAGUUGAUAUUCCUUCUUUAACCUUAGAACUUGAAAAGGAAUUUUCAGUGAAUUUAUUUUAUGCAAAAAAAUCUACAAUUUCAAAGACUUAUUCCAUAAAUAAUAAUGAUUAUGAUGACACUUGAUUCACACAUUGGAUAUAAUUUCAAAAAUGGAUCUUAUUUAUUGGUAGUUCAAAUAAAUAUGAUGUCUAUUAAUUAUUGACAGUUUUUUGACAUUUACAAGAGCAAUAUUAAUGACCAAUUAAUUAUUUAAACUGAAAUUGUCAAAUAGAAUCUUUUAUUAAAUAUUAGGGUAAUAAUUUUAUAAUAUAAGGACGACACUAACCAUCUACUACCAAUCUCAUUACCAUAAAAAGAAGAGAUAACAUAACAAUUGCUCACUGUUUUUUUAUUCAAAGAGAAAGAAAGAUAUAGUUCAGUCUGUUUAUUGAUCUCCCAAAUUCUUACUUUAAACUCUAUUUUAUACUUGAGUAAAACUAAAAUCACUUAUAAAACAUACAUAUUUCAAUUAUUUUUUUAAUAUUUUGACACAAGUAAUUACAAAAUAGAAAAUAAAAUAAACAAAGAAUAAAAUAAAAACUGAAAAUGGAAUGAAAGCAAACAAUAAGAAAGGAAUAGUACUAAACACUAAUGAAAGUAGUGUUGAAUCACAUCAUGUGUCAAGCAUAAUAUAAAUGAGAUAUAUAUACAUAAUAACACUAAAUAUAUGUGGGCCCACACCACCAUUGACCCGCACUAGUUGGCCAAGACACCAUGGACAGAAGCACAACGAGGGAAGUUGGUACAAGUUGCACCGACAACACACAUAAAUUGACGGGACACCUCAGUAUAGUGACACGGCGAGGAACGACACUAUUAGGUGCAGACAACCCUUCACCAUCACAUCCCAACCUUGAGGAUGGCUCUAAUCGCGUCGUGAGCCUCCCAUGACCGUGGGAACCCAACCGGAUUCACCCUUGGUCACGGUUCACAUCGCUGACAACUUUUCAAGACUUCAAUAAUUUGCCCUUAUUAAGAGAGAAAAUGUAAGGUGAUGAAUGGUAGACGAGGAAGAUAAAGUGCGAGAAGGGGUUGUUGUGUUUGUGCUUUUUUUGUUUAGGGGUUACUAAAUUGUUAGGUUUUGAGGGGCUGCUAAAUUAUGUGUAAGGAUAAGCUUGUUGUACACUAGUUUAAGGAUAAAGCUUCCAGACUUUUUUAAAAAGUUGUUGCUGAGUUAGGUUUAUGGAUAAGCGAAUGGGUUUUUGUCUGUGUUAGGAUAAGAUUCUGGUUAGGUGUGCCAAGUGGGGCUUUAAAUAGCCCCCUUAGUUUAGGGUUAGGGUUAUAGGGUAGUCAUAGGUAAUUAGUG
rnacentral:lncRNA from 1 species